AAUCCGUCGACCUCAAAAGUCGUGAYRGUUCAAGUCCCUCUAUCCCCA
rnacentral:tRNA from 1 species